UGGGGAAUAUUGCACAAUGGGCGAAAGCCUGAUGCAGCAACGCCGCGUGAGCGAUGAAGGCCUUUGGGUCGUAAAGCUCUGUCCUUGGGGAAGAAACAAAUGACGGUACCCUUGGAGGAAGCCCCGGCUAACUACGUGCCAGCAGCCGCGGUAAUACGUAGGGGGCGAGCGUUAUCCGGAAUUAUUGGGCGUAAAGAGUGCGUAGGUGGCCAUGUAAGCGCGGGGUGAAAGGCAAUAGCUUAACUAUUGUAAGCCUUGCGAACUGUGUGGCUUGAGUGCAGGAGAGGAAAGUGGAAUUCCUAGUGUAGCGGUGAAAUGCGUAGAUAUUAGGAGGAACACCAGUGGCGAAGGCGACUUUCUGGACUGUAACUGACACUGAGGCACGAAAGCGUGGGGAGCAAACAGGAUUAGAUACCCUGGUAGUCCACGCCGUAAACGAUGAGCACUAGGUGUCGGGGUCGCAAGACUUCGGUGCCGCAGUUAACGCAUUAAGUGCUCCGCCUGGGGAGUACGCACGCAAGUGUG
rnacentral:rRNA from 1 species